AUGGUAAAAUACCUGUUUCUGAUUUUAAUUCUGACUCCAGGUGUGAUGACUGCAGACCAGAUUAGGCCGAAUAAAGAAACUAGUGUCAUGAAGGAAGAUGAGACUGUGACCCUCAGCUGCACAUAUGAUACAAGCAGCAGAGGAGUUACUCUUUACUGGUACAGACAGUAUCCUAAUAAAGAACCUCAGUAUUUAAUGUGGAAAGAUGCUCGGGGAUGGAGAAAUACUGGGACCCCAGCUGAACCUCGCUUUCAGGCGACUACAUCAGAAACAUCCACUGAACUUAUUAUUAAUGGUGUAAAACUGUCAGAUUCAGCUCUCUAUUAUUGUGCUCUAAAAGGUGGAGCCCAGUGA